CCAAUAGCAAUACUAAUGUACAGGCCAAAACCAAAGACACCGACAGUAUUUCCAAAGAGCAAAAAAAAGUUGGAUUCUAGUACCAUAGCCCACAAGGCCCACCUGGAUCCCAGACCCAGACCCUACUCCAGGCUCGAAACCAGAUCUGACCCGGAUCACAACUCCAAGACCAGCGUUGCCACACCCUUGAAACCAGCCAUUGCGAUGCCAUCUUCUACCGGAAGAAGCUCAUCCACAACUGAUCACUACGUCGCAUCCCGGCCUCAACUCCUACAACCCAAACACCUCUGAUGUAAAACGGAAGUCGUGGCCUAUCACCUCCAUAGAUCUGAGCUUCUUGUACCUUCCUCCGUCAUGGACUACCACCUCUGAAUUUGGGGACAACACCCACACCUCUAUGCCACCAACAACCACCACAUCAAAUCGGGUCCCCACCAACGAACAACCGAUCUCUUGCCUCAAUGCCAAACCGGGAUUCCAAGUAUGAUUCAGGUCCUCUAGAGAAACGCAUCACAGUCCAUCAUCAUUCCUGCCAUUGGAAGUGAAUGCCAGGGAAGAGAUCCAACGCCGAAACGAAGAGGUGUAGCAACCCGGGGAUUGCCAUGGAGGGAUUCGCGAGGCCAAGAGGCUCGUCAGCCGAGAACCAUAAACGAGAACGUCACCGGUCAAGGGGUUUGGACGGCGAAAUCCUAAGUGUCAUUUUGUAAUGGAAGUGAUUCAACAUUAGCCACGAUAGAAUGGACGAUGAUGGAGCUGGUUAGACACUCAAAAGUGAUGAGGAAAACACAGAAAAAGAGUUCGGAAAGUUGCAUCUGGUGCCGGAAAAGCCUAUGAAUCCCACCUUCCACAGUUGCACACAUUCACUCCUUGAAAGCUGUGGUAAAGGAGGCAAUGCGAUUGCACCACCGGCCACCAGUUACUCCACUAGUUCCUAAAGAAUCAAAAGAGAAGUGCAUUCUGGACGGCUAUGAAGUACGGAAAACAAAUCGGGGUCUGAUCAAUGCCUAUGGGAUAGGAAGAGAUCCAGACGUAUGGGACAACCCCCCUUGAGUACAGACCCUAAAGGUUUAAGGAUGGAAACAGUGAUAAUGUCACAGAGAUAGAUUUUUAGGUUUCUACCAUUUGGGAGAGGAAGAAGAGGUUGUCCUAGUUCCGGUUUUGGCUUAGCAAAUUUUUUGCAAUAGCUCGUCUCUUGUA